GUUUCCGUAGUGUAGCGGUUAUCACGUUGGCCUUACACGCGAAAGGUCCCCAGCUCAAACCUGGGCGGAAACA